UAGGGAAUCUUCCGCAAUGGACGCAAGUCUGACGGAGCAACGCCGCGUGAGUGAAGAAGGAUUUCGGUUCGUAAAACUCUGUUGUUAGAGAAGAACAGCGCAUAGAGUAACUGUUAUGCGUGUGACGGUAUCUAACCAGAAAGCCACGGCUAACUACGUGCCAGCAGCCGCGGUAAUACGUAGGUGGCAAGCGUUGUCCGGAUUUAUUGGGCGUAAAGCGAGCGCAGGCGGUCAAUUAAGUCUGAUGUGAAAGCCCCCGGCUCAACCGGGGAGGGUCAUUGGAAACUGGUUGACUUGAGUGCAGAAGAGGAGAGUGGAAUUCCAUGUGUAGCGGUGAAAUGCGUAGAUCUAUGGAGGAACACCAGUGGCGAAGGCGACUCUCUGGUCUGUAACUGACGCUGAGGCUCGAAAGCGUGGGUAGCAAACAGG
rnacentral:rRNA from 1 species